AUGAGCUCCCUUUCCAUGAAGUGCAUGCUCUUCACCUCGGCGGUCACCGUUGCCCUUGCCCUUUUCCCAGUUGCCACUGUCGGCGCCGGCCUGAAAGUCGGAUUCUACAGCAAGAGCUGCCCAUCGGCAGAGAACCUGGUGCAGCAGGCGGUGGCUGCUGCCUUCAAGAACAACACCGGUGUCGCCGCUGGCCUCAUCCGGUUGCACUUCCACGACUGUUUUGUCAAGGGUUGUGAUGGCUCAGUCCUGAUCGACUCGACAGCAAACAACACCGCCGAGAAAGACGCGCCCCCCAACAAGCCCAGCCUCCGUGGGUUCGAGGUGAUCGACGCUGCAAAGAAGGCCAUCGAGGCGAAAUGCCCCAAGACGGUCUCGUGCGCGGACAUCCUCGCCUUCGCCGCCCGUGACAGCAUCGCGCUAGCAGGAAAUGUUACCUACAAGGUGCCCGCCGGGCGCCGCGACGGCAGGAUUUCCACCAACGCGAGCGCCCUCAGCAACCUACCCUCGCCGCUCUCAACGGCGGCCGAGCUGGUCGGCAACUUCACCCUCAAGAACCUCACGGCCGAGGACAUGGUCGUCCUCUCCGGUGCGCACACCAUAGGCGUCUCCCGCUGCUCGUCCUUCACAAACAGGCUAUAUGCCUUCAGCAACACCAGCCAGGUUGAUCCUACGAUGAGCUCGGCCUACGCCUUCCUGCUGAAAAGCAUAUGCCCUGCCAACAGCAGCCAGUUCUUCCCAACCACGACGACGGAUAUGGACAUCAUCACCCCGACGCUGCUGGACAACAAGUAUUACGUGGGUCUGACCAACAACCUGGGCCUGUUCACGUCGGACCAGGCGUUGCUCACGAACUCGACUCUGAAAGCAUCGGUCGACGCGUUUGUCAAAAGCGAGAAGAGUUGGAAGAGCAAGUUUGUCAAGUCCAUGGUGAAGAUGGGGGACAUCGAGGUGCUGACAGGAACGCAGGGGGAGAUAAGGCUCAGCUGCAGGGUCAUAAACAAGGGGAGCGCUGGUCUUGAGAUCAAUGAUGGACCCGACUCUGCUGAAUUCGCUGGAAUAGCGACGAGCUAG
rnacentral:rRNA from 1 species